rnacentral:rRNA from 1 species
GAUGAACGCUGGCGGCGUGCCUAAUACAUGCAAGUCGAGCGAAUGGAUUAAGAGCUUGCUCUUAUGAAGUUAGCGGCGGACGGGUGAGUAACACGUGGGUAACCUGCCCAUAAGACUGGGAUAACUCCGGGAAACCGGGGCUAAUACCGGAUAACAUUUUGAACCGCAUGGUUCGAAAUUGAAAGGCGGCUUCGGCUGUCACCUAUGGAUGGGCCCGCGUCGCAUUAGCUAGUUGGUGAGGUAACGGCUCACCAAGGCAACGAUGCUUAGCCGACCUGAGAGGGUGAUCGGCCACACUGGGACUGAGACACGGCCCAGACUCCUACGGGAGGCAGCAGUAGGGAAUCUUCCGCAAUGGACGAAAGUCUGACGGAGCAACGCCGCGUGAGUGAUGAAGGCUUUCGGGUCGUAAAACUCUGUUGUUAGGGAAGAACAAGUGCUGGUUGAAUAAGCUGGCACCUUGACGGUACCUAACCAGAAAGCCACGGCUAACUACGUGCCAGCCGCCGCAGUAA